rnacentral:ncRNA from 1 species
GUCUGUGAAGAUGUAGACCACCCGCACCCUGACAGAAAGACACUAUGAAGCUUCACUGUUCCCUAGGAUUAGCUUUGGGCUUUUCCUGUGCAGCUUAGGUGGAAGGAGAAAAAGGCCUUCUUCCGGGGGGCCCGAGCCAUUAGUGAGAUACCACUCUAGAAGAGCUAGAAUUCUAACCUUGUGUCAAGGCCUACGGGCCAAGGGACAAUCUCAAGUAGACAAUUUCUAUUAGGCGUAGGCCUCCCAAAAGGUAAUGGAGGCGUGCAAAGGUUUCCUCGGGCCGAACAAAGAUUGCCCCUCAAGUGCAAAGGCAGAAGGGAGCUUCACUGCAAGACCCACCCGUCUAGCAAGGACGAAAGUCAGCCUUAUUAAUCCAGAGGUACCGAGUGGAAAGGCCGUCACUCAACGGAUAAAAGUUACUCUAAGGAUAACAGGUUGAUCUUCCCCAAAAACUCACAUCGACAGGAAGGUUUGGCACCUCGAUGUCGGCUCAUCGCCACCUAGGCUAUAGUAUGUUCCAAGGGUUGAGUUGUUCGCCCAUUAAAGCGGUACGUGAGUUGGGUUCAGAACGUCGUGAGACAGUUCGAUCCAUAUUUGGUGCGGG